GCUAUAUAGGAAAGAGCAGGUAGGACGAUACUGCAAUGUGAAGAAAUAAAUGUAAGCAUCAGGCUUCACGAAACUCCUUAAUAGCUGAAUAGAAAAUCAUUCAAUAGCAUAUAUGUUUCUUACAUGGCUGCAUUAUUUUGCUGUUUAUUUUUUUAAGGAGUAGACCCCGUCGAACUUUUUGUUGGUGUUACAUCUUACAGCACAAACAGUACGACCAAAUGCAACAAUACAUACGCUAGGAUUCAGAGGACAUUAAUUAUGGUCGGGUCUGCUGCAGAUUAUAUAGUCUAUGAAGUAUCGCGCUGCUCCUAAUUUCAAGCUAGAUUGUCUCACUCCAGGUUCUCUACUUUGUUGAUCUUUUGUUAUUUUACUUCCAUAUUAUGGUUCGUCAAUCUAUUUUGGAGCUUGCAAAAUCUUCAUAGUUGAACCUCAGUAAUUGGAUAGUAAUUCAAGAGAGAUGGAUUGCUUGUGAGAGAUUUAGUGCGUAAGCUACGUACGUUGGCAUUCAGGUUCUAAAAUCCCAGUUGCCUGUAGCUCAAAACCCAUCAAAUAUUGCGAGCUUUCCGUUGGUUACAUCCUGAUAAAUUUGCACUACUGAUAGGAUUUGGUCUGUUCCAUAGUUUGACACUUAAAGAAAAAUACAACAAAUUAUGUUGUACAAGAGCACAAAUUUUGCAUAGCUCACGGGAGUCCGCGUCAUAUUAUUCCUUUUCUUUACAUGGGGUUUGCUUUUCUUCCUUUCUCCUUUAAUUCUUUGUCUGCUCUUUGAUGUUCUGCCUGUGGAUUGGGGCUGCUGCCAGAGCAGCGGUAUGUGUUCUAUGUCGUGUAGCAUAUAUGGGUUGUGCAGCAUAUGUUUUUUUCUACAUAUUUCCUUGACACAUAGUUCUUCCCUGUUAUGUGUAGAUCUGCAGGCAGCAGGCAAGAUCAUUUGGUUCGUCGGUUUAGUAAGAACUUCCAUUGUUGAUUUCUCUUCCUAAUGUAAGCCUUGCUAUUGCAUUGGUUAGGUUUGUUCCUGUUUUGUAUACAGUUUUAAAUAAUUAGUGAUCUAGACUAAGAAGUGAGCUACAAACGAGAUGUUAGUUUUUCCCAGAUUACUAUGACGAACAGAUUUUCUUUUUCUACAUCCAUGGCCAGGAACAUGUAUUGUAUCCAAUACAAAAUGAAGCUCUAAAUAAUUGCUAAAUCUCAGAAGUGUUAGACUAAAAAUGAUUCAUCAACUGAAUGCAUUUUAGUGUAAUAACUUAAUGGUUGGAAACAUCACGAGUUUUAGUAUGAUAAAACUAAAAUCUGAAUGGAAUCAUGAAUGUAUAUCAGUUUGUUGCACAAAUUAUGCAGCAACGCCAAAGCUGUAAUUGAUGGUAUUUUAUCUUGCAUAUACGAGUUACAGGCAUUAGUCUUAUUCUUUUCUACGAAGACUACCGUAUAUGGUUUGAAUCAUUGUUAUAUAUUUUCUUCUGAUGCAAGCCUGUAUCUACAGUUCCAUUCUCAUUUCCUUCUUUCUUUUUUAUUCUGCAGGGCACAUGUCUCCAUAGUACACUUACAAUUAACUUCUUGGGUAUAUCAUUGUUGUUGCCUCCUAAUUUGUGUGAUGCAAAAAGUUGUGCAUUUUGUGUGUGGAUCUGAGAUGCCUAGGAAGGUUGGGAAGUGAACUUGUUACCUCUGUUUAAUUCAAUGGCAUGUUGAACUUGAUGCACCUCUUGGCCCAUGGCUUUUCCCCCGAAAGUUUGGAAGUGCGAAUGUUUCUGGGUAUGUUGAUCACCACUAAUUUCUAUAGAAAGGAGCCGAAUGGGAGUGAGUAAGCUCCUUUUCACUUGCUG
rnacentral:lncRNA from 1 species